AACAGAGGAAACCUCCAUCUAAAAAAGAAAAAAAAAAAAAAAGACUUCAGCCAACAGAUCAGAACGCAGAAAAUGCAUUUGCCUCAGUAGUGAGUCGGCAGAAUUCCAGAGACUUGUAGCCAUAUCAGGCUUUCCAAGCUGGAAGCAAUUUCAAAGAGCAAAGGCGCAGCCUCUCCUCUCAUUUACAGAUGGGGAAACUGAAGCCCAGAGAGAAGUAAUUUGUCUGAGGUCACCCAGCAAGGUGGUGACAACACAGGAACUGGAACUCAUAUUUCUUCACUCUCAAGACAGACUCUGGGCUGCCCCUUAAGGAUAAAAGUAGAGAAGGAAGGGGAGAAAAAGGUAGACAUGAAGGAGAAAGAAAAGGAUAAGGGAGAAGAAAGAAAGGACAGAGAGAAAAAAAUGAACAAUCAGAGUAAAGGCAGCAAGCAUUCUCUAACUCCUGACCGCGAGUGAUCCUCCUGCCUCAACCUCCCAAAGGGCUGGGACUACAGGCGUGAGCCACUGCGCAGGGCCUCAACCAGCGUUCUCUAGAGCGGUGGAUCCCAAAUGCCAUCUGAGGACCAGCAACAGCAGCAGCAUCCGGUUUUCCUAGGAUAAUGUGUUGGAGGGCUCUGAACCCCAGAAGCUUCACACCUAGAGCUCUUCAGAUCUACCCUUGGUCAUUGACAUCCCAGCAUGAAUCAGUGACUCAGUCCUUCCAGGUUGGUUCCCUGCCUGAAGGCAGUUUCUACUGGGGUAAGCUGGGAACAUGGUAUCCAACAUGCCCCAUCAUUGAGAAGCCCCUCAUGCAGGGAGGGGGACCACCCUGGCUCAUCUUGACGUCCCGUUCCCCGUGAGCAGAGAGCAGCUGGCCGUGGCUCUGGCUCCCAGGCCUGAUGGCGAAGCCCCAUCUGAACUCCCUAGAGUCCCCUCGGGGGUCUGGCCCUGGCUCCUAUCCCUGCCUUUCAGCCUCAGGGCAUGUGGGCCUGCGUCUGUCAGCAGCUCACUCCCAGCUUGCAGCGUGGCUUUACACUGUGCAGGGAUCUGCUGACAACAGCCCACAGCCACAUGUGGCUCUGACCUGAGGCCUGUGGCCUCUUGCUCCCCUCAGCCUGGGAGGGAAGUUGCUGAGCCCCAGCACUUCAGCGUUCCUGGCCCUGCCUGUACACGUGGGUUCUCAAGCAAGGCUGUCAGGCAGGGCUGGCCCCAGCUGGCACCAUGGCCCAGCAGUGGACCUGCCAGCUCCCUCUCCCACUCCCUGUUCAAAUAACCACAUGUGGGCAGCUGCUGAGCUUCUCCAGCUUCCAGGGAGCAGGGAGCUGGGGUAGGGGGUAGAGGCAGCCCAGCUGGCUGUAAUUAUCCUAGAGGCCUCAUGUGGGCUGCCUGCCCUUGGGGAGUGGGGAUGCCCAUUCGUCUUGGCUUCCUCUGUCCCUUCCCUGAGGGGUUUGGACCUGAAACUAGUGGAGGGGACCAUAGAGAGGGGAGGAAGGAGAAGCCCACCAUCCCCCCUCACUAGGUCUGAGGGGCCUGCAUUCUGGGGUAGGCUCUGAAGUCUCCCUGAUCAGAGAGUCUCAGGCUGUCCAGGCAUGAACAGACCAUGGAAUUGGAAAAUUUGAGGCUCAGAGAGGUUGUGACUUGCCUGGGGUCACCCAGCAGUGGAGGUGGCCUUCAACUCACGUCUUUCACCCCUGACUCCCUUUCUAGGACUCUCCUCGUGUCUCCCUUUCAAGCCCCUAAUUUACUCAUCUAAUCAACAACUGUUAGUUGAGUGCCUGCUGAGUGCCCAUGCAAGUGCUGGGGGCUAGGACACAGACAAAACCUCUGUGGGGGUGGGAGGGAGGACUUCCUUCAGGUGGUGGAGGAAGGCUUCUCAGCAGAGACGACAUUUGAGGAAAAACAGGAUGGACUCAGUCAUGCGAAGAUCUGGGGACAGGAGGUUCCACAAAAGGCCACAGCAAGUGCAAGAGCCCUGAGGUUGGAACGAGGCCAUCCGUUAUGGCUGGAGCAGAGUGAAUGGGGGGCAAGGGUGGGGAGAUGACAUCAGAGAGAUG
rnacentral:lncRNA from 10 species